rnacentral:lncRNA from 1 species
AAUAUUAUACACAGAUAAUAGAGAGAAAUCAGAGAGCAAUAUACACCCAAUGAGCACACACCGAAAAUAGAAAAAAAGAAUGAUAUACAAAACACCCAUCAGAUCAAAAGGAGAAAAUACUAUCAUAGUAAAAAUAGAGAUAAGGUCGUUGUGGAAGAAAUCAGAAAGAUAAAAGACUACCUGAAAUAGAAGUAAAAGAAAAGGAGAAAAAAGGUUACGGGAAAAGGCAAAGGCAACAAACAGAUACAAAAUUAACCUCUGGUCAGGACCAUAUCCUUCUUUAUUCUCUUUCCAUUCGAUUGUUAUUCUUCUGCUAUCAAUCCGUAUAUUUAUUUUAUACAUAUUCUACUCACCUAGUUUCCUAGGAACAUAUAUACUUAUAUUUAAUCAAUAAUAAAAGCAAAUAAUGCUUUAUGAAAACCUUAAAAACAAUUCUAGUGAGGAUUUUAUUUUUGAAUGAAUUUUCAUCCCAAUCCAUUUUUUAUAUUCACAUCACUAAUCAAUACACACACUAAGACAAGCAGACUUUCAAUGUGCGAGGGAUAUGGCUCCUUACCAAAUUCCCUCGUCUCCUUCGAUUUUGAACCACAAACCCAGAGCUGCUUUGCUCUCAGAUCAUAGGUUGUUCCAUAUCAAGGAAUGGGAUAGAGGCCACCACGUCAAAGCAUCAUGGAGCCUUCACAGUUGAAUCAGUCUCAUCACCGAAAAGGGAUAGCCUUUCACUCUUUUUCAAUGACCCCCACAAAUCGCGCGAAGAAGGAUCUUUGGGCUCGCCGGAAGCAGCAACCAUUUGUAAAAGAGAUGAAGAAGUAAUAGGAAACCAUACUAGUAUGACUCGGUGAAGCAUAUAGGGGUUAGAUCGCAUGCUUAAGGCAUCGUCAGAAUACCUUUUUCUUUCGUCCCCGCUACGAACCAUCUACUUCAGGGUGGAUGUAGAUCUUACUCUUUAUAUUUGCAAUAUUUUGAUAAAGAUACCAAUAUCAGCAAAAAGAAGAAAAAUGAUUAAAGACCUUGAAGACUUAGAAGCAUGCUCAUAAAGUGAACAAGACUUUU